ACCAACUUACUGAAAGUAUAAAACCGUAAAAUAAGAAUGGUAUACAAAAUCGACAGAGAGCAAUGAAAAAGUCGGCACAAAGAAGGUAGAAAAAAGGAGCAAAUUGGAAAGAAGGGAGGUGAAUGGUUUAGGGGUUGAAGAGGUUUCGGUAGAAGGUAAAAAAAUAAAAAAAAUGAAAAAGGAGAGAAAAUAGAUUAGCCACCAGUAGAAUUACUUGGAAAGGAAAGAAAAAGAGACAAUUGAGAGAGGCAAUAUUCGGCCAAAUAGAGGUUGCCAACACAAAAAAAAAACGAGACAGACGAAUAUGCAAAAACCCCUUACCACAUCGGCCUUCAAGCAAAAAGAGUGAAAACACC
rnacentral:lncRNA from 1 species